UUCUCAGAGUUAUUUUUCACUUUCCUGAGCUCUUUCCCUUUCUCUCUCUAAAACCCUUGCCCUAAAGGUUUUCUCUGACUUCUCUCUACAUUCACAGCUCCUUGAACCAUAGGAAUUCGAUUUUGGUGCUACCCAAGCGUCCGCGGAGUAGAGGGCUUCAUUUCUACCAAACGUCCUCUUCAUUCCGAUCGGGGCAGGUUGAGUUCUUGUGUUGUCGAGGGUACUGCUAGGGCAGUUUCAGUAGUUGUGCUUGGAGAAACCCAGAUGGCGAAGAGGUUCUUUUGGAGACGACCUUGGAAGUUGAGGAUAAUGCUGCUACCUAGUCUCCUUAGAAUGUUAUCGAUUAUUGUCUGUAGUUUGAAAUAUUGUUUCCCUUUAAGUUUAUAAUUUAGAUCUUUUUGGAGUUGAA